rnacentral:rRNA from 1 species
AUUGAACGCUGGCGGCAUGCUUUACACAUGCAAGUCGAACGGCAGCGCGGGCUUCGGCCUGGCGGCGAGUGGCGAACGGGUGAGUAAUGCAUCGGAACGUGCCCAGUAGUGGGGGAUAGCCCGGCGAAAGCCGGAUUAAUACCGCAUACGACCUGAGGGUGAAAGCGGGGGACCGAAAGGCCUCGCGCUAUUGGAGCGGCCGAUGUCGGAUUAGCUAGUUGGUGGGGUAAAGGCAUACCAAGGCGACGAUCCGUAGCUGGUCUGAGAGGACGACCAGCCACACUGGGACUGGGACACGGCCCAGACUCCUACGGGAGGCAGCAGUGGGGAAUUUUGGACAAUGGGGGCAACCCUGAUCCAGCCAUGCCGCGUGCGGGAAGAAGGCCUUCGGGUUGUAAACCGCUUUUGUUCGGGAAGAAAUCCUCUGGGCUAAUACCCCGGGGGGAUGACGGUACCGGAAGAAUAAGCACCGGCUAACUACGUG